AACGCACAUUGCGCCCACCAGUAUUCUGGUGGGCAUGCCUGUUCGAGCGUCAUUACGACCCUUAAGCCCUAGUUGCUUAGCGUUGGGGGCUCGCCGUAACUGGCGACCCCUUAAAGACAUUGGCGGAGUCGGUUUGGAACUCUGAGCGUAGUAGAUCUCUUCUCGCUCCUGAAGCCCUCGCGACCCUAGCCGUUAAACCAGUAUGACCUAGUCAUCUUAUAGUGGUUGACCUCGGAUCAGGUAGGAAUACCCGCUGAACUUAA
rnacentral:misc_RNA from 1 species